rnacentral:rRNA from 1 species
AUUGAACGCUGGCGGCAGGCCUAACACAUGCAAGUCGAACGAGUGGCGGACGGGUGAGUAAUGUCUGGGAAACUGCCCGAUGGAGGGGGAUAACUACUGGAAACGGUAGCUAAUACCGCAUACCAUCGGAUGUGCCCAGAUGGGAUUAGCUAGUAGGUGGGGUAACGGCUCACCUAGGCGACGAUCCCUAGCUGGUCUGAGAGGAUGACAGGCGACUAUGGAAGUGAGACACGGUCCAGACUCCUACGGUAGGCAGCAGUGGGGAAUAUGGCACAAUGGGCGCAAGCCUGAUGCAGCCAUGCGGCGUGUAUGAAGGAGGCCUUCGGGUUGUAAAGUACGUUCAGCGAGGAGGCGUUACUCGCAGAAGAAGCACCGGCUAACUCCGGGACAGCAGCCGCGGUAAUAC